rnacentral:rRNA from 1 species
CUUGACAUAUACGAGAACGGGCCAGAAAUGUCAACUCUUUGACACUCGUAAACAGGUGGUGCAUGGUUGUCGUCAGCUCGUGUCGUGAGAUGUUGGGUUAAGUCCCGCAACGAGCGCAACCCUCGUUCUAUGUUGCCAGCACGUAAUGGUGGGAACUCAUGGGAUACUGCCGGGGUCAACUCGGAGGAAGGUGGGGAUGACGUCAAAUCAUCAUGCCCCUUAUGUCUUGGGCUUCACGCAUGCUACAAUGGCCGGUACAAAGGGCUGCAAUACCGCGAGGUGGAGCGAAUCCCAAAAAGCCGGUCCCAGUUCGGAUUGAGGUCUGCAACUCGACCUCAUGAAGUCGGAGUCGCUAGUAAUCGCAGAUCAGCAACGCUGCGGUGAAUACGUUCCCGGGUCUUGUACACACCGCCCGUCAAGUCAUGAAAGUCGGUAACACCUGAAGCCGGUGGCCCAACCUUUGGAGGAGCCGUCGAAUGACCCCGGCCC